rnacentral:rRNA from 1 species
AACGAACGCUGGCGGCGUGUUUAAGACAUGCAAGUCGCACGGGAUAAGACAUGUAGUAAUACUUGUUUUAUUUAGUGGCGCACGGGUGAGUAACACGUGAAUUACAUGCCCUAUAGUGGGGAAUAGCCCAGGGAAACUUGGAUUAAUACCCCAUGGUAUCGAAAGAUUAAAGGUUGCCGCAAGGCUGUCGCUAUAGGAUUGGUUCGCGCCCUAUCAGCUUGUUGGUGAGGUAACGGCUCACCAAGGCAAUGACGGGUACCUGGUCUGAGAGGACGAUCAGGCACACUGGAACUGAGACACGGUCCAGACACCUACGGGUGGCAGCAGUCGAGAAUAAUUCACAAUGGGGGCAACCCUGAUGGUGCAACGCCGCGUGGAGGAUGACGGUCUUCGGAUUGUAAACUCCUGUCAUCUGGGAGAAAGACCUGACGGUAAAUAGCCGGCAGGGUUGAUAGUACCUCCAGAAGCAGCCACGGCUAACUUCGUGCCAGCCGCCGCGGUAA